AUAACAUUCGGACCGUCGCGUCGCGUCGGUCCACCGAACGAUUUUCCCCGCUCGGUGGAAGACCUUCCUUUUGUUGU
rnacentral:pre_miRNA from 1 species